rnacentral:lncRNA from 1 species
AAGGGCCGUUGGAGGGAGGAGAGCCGGUGGGGCUAUAGAACCUUCCAGAGCGGCGGCGACGCGGCGUGGAUUGGGGAGUGUUGAAGUGAGGUGCUGUGAAGCUGCAGUCAGACUGUGUUGUGGUAAAGAAGAGAAAGCAGCAGCAAGAUCCUGUGUUCUGACGGUGGCCUUGCACUUCACUGUGGGAUCUUAGUCAAGACGAGACAUGUGCGAACCCAGUGGCAGUGUGAGGACCCAGCCUUGUGUACACAUCUGGUGCUGCUUUACUCACGUUCUCCCACUCAGAAAAUCUGAUGAUAAAGACCUCAGGAAAGCAGUACAUCUCAGUCCUACAGAAACUGACCUGGCCUCUCUUAAUGAAAUGUAUUCUCUGCGAGAGAAGACAACUCGGUGAUCCUUGUUUAUAACAACUACACUUAUAAGAAUGGAAGUGUGGGGAGUACGACCAUCACUUUUCAAGCUACCGGUAACCUGCAGUGUAUGCCCAGGCCCCUGCUUUUCAGAGCUAGGCACCAGAGCUGAAUUAGCUGUGAUUAGAAAAUACAGGAAUGUUCUUUAAGGCAGAGAAGCAGAGCAAGCAAAGUUUUCCCUAGGGGUGUCAUCAUCUGGUGCUUCAUGCCUUGUAUGAAUCAGCUUCUGAAAUUUCAAGACAAUGUACUUUCAUGGCUGCAACUCUCAUCUCCUCAAAUAAAACCGGGCUGAAAGAUACUUACUGCCUUUAUAAAGCUCAGACCUUCAUGUGAUUUAAUACCAUCAGCUCCAGACUGAUUCCUGCAGUUCACUCUGGCAGUAAGAAGAUGUUUCAAGAGUCCAGCUCUAAUUGUUCUUGAUUUUCACUGAGUCUUAACAUAAGCUGUUGUUCAUAAUAAAGGCUCUUUGCAUAGUUUAUUUCUUGACAUAGCUUUACUGCAAGAACUUCAGAUUUCACAUUGACCUGCAGAAAGAAAUGGGUAUGUUGUUAAAGAGGCACUGUUUUUUUGUUUGUUUGUUUGUUUCACUGACUGAAGGAAUUUGCAUGGCUGUGCUUGAGGGAAUAAAAGUGCUUCAAUGGAAAUCUUGUUCUCAGUGAUGAGGAUGAGGUAUGGGAGAAAUGAGAGAGGGAAAGACAGGUAACUGAGUUUUGGUAAUAUUGGGUGGGAAUAGAAACAUCUUGCAAUAUCUGAAGUUAUUUCCUUUGCUUCCUCUCCUACCUUUCAUCUGUCUGUUCUGUUUGGAAUGUAAACUGACUUAGGUCAGGGGUGAGCUUGUAACCUUGUCUGUAAAACAGACCUGGAACAACUACUGUAAUGAAGCAGAAAACCCACUUGGUUGAGAGGUGAGAUACUGAUUAAUUUUUAUAUGUAUGACAUAAAUAGUCUUUCCAAUCU